rnacentral:rRNA from 1 species
UACGUAGGCAGCAAGCGUUGUUCGGAGUUACUGGGCGUAAAGGGUGUGUAGGCGGUUGUUUAAGUUUGGGGUGAAAUCUCCCGGCUCAACUGGGAGGGUGCGCCGAAUACUGAGGGGCUAGAGUGUGGUAGGGGAUACUGGAAUUCCUGGUGUAGCGGUGAAAUGCGUAGAUAUCAGGAGGAAUACCUAUGGCGAAAGCAGGUAUCUGGGCCAUCACUGACGCUGAGCUGCGAAAGCUAGGGGAGCAAACAGG